rnacentral:rRNA from 1 species
GGUUGACCUUACGAGUGUAAGUGCUGGUAAGAGUCAUCCAUCCUUCUAGAGAGCCAUGCCUGCUGUUCACUCAGCUGGGCGUGUGCGAUCUAGAUCUUUUACUUUGAAAAAAUUAGAGUGUUUAAAGCAGGCUUAUGCUGUGAAUACAUUAGCAUGGAAGACUUUGGUUCUAUUUUGUUGGUUUCUAGGACUGAAGUC